rnacentral:rRNA from 1 species
GACGAACGCUGGCGGCGUGCUUAACACAUGCAAGUCGAACGGAAAGGCCCUGCUUUUGUGGGGUGCUCGAGUGGCGAACGGGUGAGUAACACGUGAGUAACCUGCCCUUGACUUUGGGAUAACUUCAGGAACUGGGGCUAAUACCGGAUAGGGGCUCCUGCUGCAUGGGGGGGGGUGGGAAGGUUCGGCGGUUGGGGAUGGACUCGCGGGUUAUCAGCUUGUUGGUGGGGUAGUGGCUUACCAAGGCUUUGACGGGUAGCCGGCCUGAGAGGGUGACCGGCCACAUUGGGACUGAGAUACGGCCCAGACUCCUACGGGAGGCAGCAGUGGGGAAUAUUGCACAAUGGGCGGAAGCCUGAUGCAGCAACGCCGCGUGCGGGAUGACGGCCUUCGGGUUGUAAACCGCUUUCGCCUGUGACGAAGCGUGAGUGACGGUAAUGGGUAAAGAAGCACCGGCUAACUACGUG